UACGGGGGGGGCAAGCGUUUGUUCGGAAUUACUGGGCGUAAAGGGCUCGUAGGCGGCCAACUAAGUCGGAUGUGAAAUCCCCAGGCUUAACUUGGGAACUGCAUCCGAUACUGGAUGGCUUGAAUCCGGGAGAGGGAUGCGGAAUUCCAGGUGUAGCGGUGAAAUGCGUAGAUAUCUGGAGGAACACCGGUGGCGAAGGCGGCAUCCUGGACCGGCAUUGACGCUGAUGAGCGAAAGCCAGGGGAGCAAACGGG
rnacentral:rRNA from 1 species